AUUCUAAUUUACAAAUUAGUACUAUGGGUGGGAGAUGUGAGCUGAAUCAAAAAAAAAAAAAAAAAAUUGUUUGAAUGUUGUUGGUGAUGUGGAGAAAUGUGCGUGCCAAAUGCUAGAGAAAUUGCAAAUCGGGUUGUAUGUGUGUGUAUUUUGAUGGCGUUCUGAAGGAAGAUGUGCAACGAGUUGAAUAUUUUAUUAUUUUCUGUUGUAGGAAUUAUUUGCGAAAAUAUGUAUUGUGCUCAGUGGGGUUAGAAGAUUUAGGCUAGAGGUUAGGAUACUUAGAAAAUAUUUGUAUAUGUAUUUUACACCAUAUUUGCAAAAGCACUGAUUGCAUGAGACUUUUUUAUGAAUUCUUUGUUUCUUGAUUCUGAUAUUCACACGAAAAUGAACUAAUCUACGAAGAACUUAGGUUGCAUAUGUUUUUUAAUUUAAAUUUUUACAGUCAUAAAAAUUUUGUAAAUUUUCACCAAUAUAAAAAUAUUUUACAAAGAUUGGGCAUUGCUUUUUCCAUCUAGCCGUUGGCAUCCAAAUUAAAACUGUUUGCACUUGAUGUGGCAGAUAUUAGCUGGUGUCAGAAACAAAGAAGUUCCGAAAACCAAACAGGCACAGGCAGGUUCUGAUUUAAGGCAAUAAAUUGCAUGAAUUUCAGUGCAUGUCUCUCGUAGCUCAGCCGUCCGUAGAUAACUUCAAAUUGCUCAAUUUUUUCUGUUGCAUAUUAGACAUAUCAUCCUUUUAUAUUUUUGAUCGACCAAAAUCUAAUAAACUAUAACUUAUAUUCGGAAAUUUGUUUCGGUGGAUCUGUGAAUUUUGAAGCAGUGCUUGCAGAAUUUUAUUCCUAUUUCUGCACUGUCACAGUUAAACCUAGUUUAUCUUCUCGCUUAAUUAUUUUGCAUAAAAGGAAAUUAAUUUAUUUUUUAAUUGAUGACUUUUCACUUUAAAAUUGAAAUACUUAGUUUUUUGGUUAUUCAAUUUAUCUUUUUUCGCUCGGAAUUUUUUAUUCAAAAUACAUACACAUUUUGAUGCUUUCACUUGAAAUAAACAUAGUAAGAAAGUAGAAAAAAUAUUUAGAAUUAAUUUUAAGGGGGAAUGCUUUGAAGUGGCAGUGGCUUACCAUAAACAGUUUUGGAACAUUCCAGUAAUUUUUUUUUGCAAACAUUGAGGUUAGUUAUCGACAAGAAAGUGACCAUAAACAGACGCGCUUUAUUCUCUGUUCUCCAAACGAGAGACAACCAACGACUUUCUCAACAAAAAUUUGCAUAAUUCGCGAUUUAGCAAAUCUUAGUCGUCCGAACUAUUUCUAAAAAUGAGAAUUUGAAAUUUUCAGUAACUAAGCCAUCUUUAAGCGGAUUUGUGAUCAACGAAUUAAUUUUUAUGUAUAAGUUUUAUUUAUUACAUAAUUCUAAUGAUUUUAAUUUAGCGGCUAUUUAAUACUAAAAUAACUCAAAUUUACCUAUAACCGUUUUUCUAGUGUGGAUUUUUUUUAUGUCCACUUGUGGACGGCCAUUUUUACCACCACUUAAAAGAAAAAAAUUAGAUAGAAUUUCAUAAGUUAUUAAACUCUAAUAUGAAUAUUUUUUUUUAUUAGUUCGCACUGUAACAAAAACUACACAAAUAAGUUUCAAACUCUGUACAAAAUUCAUUCAAAUUUUGAACUCCAACCACAUUUUUUAUAAAUAUGCAGUUUAAUACCUCAUUUAAUUUUAAUGUGGUAUAGUGUAAGUUUGAAGUAGCUCAUAAUUCUGGUUGACUUGAAAAAAUUUUUCUAUACGAUGGUGCGCAUUUUUCGCAUAAAAAUAUGGAAAAAACUACACAAUCGCCGGAAAAAAAAAUAUCAGCGAGAACUUUGAGCCACUUCAAACAAACAUGCACAUUAUUAUGUUAAAAUUAAAUGGGCAAACUGCAAACCCGAAAUUUUCGAAAA